GAACAGGAAGAGGUGAGUCAGCUGGAAACUGAAGGCUGAGGCAGGACUGACUUCAGAUCAAAAGAUGAAUGAUUUGGAGGAAGAGGAGGACGGAGCAGAGUCUGUAGUAUCAGGCUGUCAGUCUACGAAGAGUGACCGGUCCAGAAGAAAACCUCCAGACUUUAGUAAAGAAUCUGGACCCUCAGACACAAAAGUCCAGAACCAGAGACGGAGACCAGAGUCUCUAGUAUCCGGUUGUCAGUCUAUGAAGGGUUACCAGUCAAUGCCAGAACCUCCAG